UUCGGGGCAGGCCUCGUGGCUGGGAGGCAUGGCGGCUUCUGGCUGGGUCCAACGGGAUGAACAUUCUCGAGCCUUUGGCUGUGGCUUUUCUUUGGCAUCUGCGGAGACAGUGAGCAGCAGACCUGCAGGUUGAAGCUUAAAAGUGAGGAAUGGAUCCCUGAAAUGAUUUCUCCUUGCCAGGUGCAGUCUCCGCCUCGGUUUUUGAGGCUGGAAAAGGAUCCUGCAGAAGCAGAUGGCAGCGGCAGCGCCAAAUCCGCUGCCCUGGGCCCGAAGCGGAGACGUCUCUUUUGUAUAUGUCUGCAGUGUGUGGGACAGAACUGACAUGCUUUGCCUGAAGUUAUCUCCUCAGGACAGGCGGUGCCAGGUGGAGCAGCGCGGCCUCUGUUGCUAAUUGUUAAUGCCUGCAAAAUAAUCCCCCAAAGGGAGAAUAAUUGAAGAAUUCUUUGGACUUUGUCUUCGAAAGGAGCCAAAGAGUUUGAGUGACAGCUCAUCCUGCUGGCAGCCAAAUCAGGGCGUAACUAAGAAAAUCCAGAAUGCCGCAGUUGAGCUGAUCUGGGUGUAACUGGUGCACUGGGAAGAAGGCAGUGAUUGUGAACUGAAAAGGGUUAAUGUGUAUGUGCUGUUUUGGGGAGACUGAGCGGAAGCAGGUGCUCAGCCUAGAAAGGGGUUUCUCAGAGUGGAUUUCCUGUGAAGUUAAUGUAUCUUGGGCUUAAAUUUUGAAGCACAAAUAAAAGUUUUUAAAAAUG